rnacentral:rRNA from 1 species
UGGGAGGUAAAUUUCUCCUAAGGCUAAAUAUUGGCGAGAGACCGAUAGCGAACAAGUACCGUGAGGGAAAGAUGAAAAGUACUUUGAAAAGAGAGUCAAACAGCGCGUGAAAUUGUUGAAAGGGGAAACGAUUGAAGUCAGUCGUACCGACGGGAAAUCAACUAUCUUGAGUGCGAUUUUGUGGGUGGUGAUGAGCUUAACGGCCUUCAUAUUUGCAAAUUUGUACUCUUAUGGUGUAUUUUUUCGUAUGGUGGGUCAACAUCAAUUUUGUUCGUUAUAAAAUGAUUUGUGGAAUGUAGCUUCGGUCUCGUAUUGAAGUGUUAUAGCCCCUGAUAGAUGUAACGAUCGAGAUUGAGGAUUGCAACGAAUACCUUUCGAGGCUAUUCGCCUGAUCUCUGGAAGUCACUUUGGUAUCGAAAGCGUGCUUUCAGUAUUGCGGAUGGUGACCAAAAGGUUAGAGCGUGAUUAAAUUCGUUAAGGAUGUUGACGUAAUGACUUUAAACGACCCGUCUUGAAGCACGGACCAAGGAGUCUAACAUAUAUGCGAGUGUUCGGGUAGCAAACCCUUACGCGUAAUGAAAGUAAUUUAGAUGGGAACAUGUUUAUGUGCACCAUCGACC